rnacentral:tRNA from 1 species
AAAUAAGAAGUAAAACUUACAUUUAAUUUCGACUUAAAAUUUGGGAUCCGCCACCCCUUAUUUA